CGGCGAGUGAAGCGGCAACAGCUCAAAUUUGAAAUCUGGCUUCGGCCCGAGUUGUAAUUUGCAGAGGAUGUUUCUGGCGCGGUGCCUUCCGAGUUCCCUGGAACGGGACGCCAUAGAGGGUGAGAGCCCCGUAUGGUUGGAUACCAAGCCUGUGUGAAACUCCUUCGACGAGUCGAGUAGUUUGGGAAUGCUGCUCAAAAUGGGAGGUAAAUCUCUUCUAAAGCUAAAUAUUGGCCAGAGACCGAUAGCGCACAAGUAGAGUGAUCGAAAGAUGAAAAGCACCUUGAAAAGGGGGUUAAACAGUACGUGAAAUUGUUGAAAGGGAAGCGCUCAUGACCAGACUUGUGCUGGGCAGCUCAUCCGGGGUUCUCCCCGGUGCAUUCUGCCCAGUUCAGGCCAGCAUCGAUUUUUGCUGGGGGAUAAGAACGGUAGGAACGUGGCCCUCCUUCGGGAGGGUGUUAUAGCCUACCGUACGAUACCCUAGCGGAGAUCGAGGUUCGCGCAUCUGCAAGGAUGCUGGCGUAAUGGUCAUCAGCGACCCGUCUUGAAACACGGACCAAGGAGUCGUCCAUUAGAGCGAGCGUUUGGGUGUAAAACCCGCACGCGUAAUGAAAGUGAAAUUAGGUGAGAGCUUCGGCGCAUCAUCGACCGAUCCUGAUGUUCUCGGAUGGAUUUGAGUAAGAGUUUUAACGGACGGACCCGAAAGACAGUGAACUAUGCUUGUAUAGGGUGAAGCCAGAGGAAACUCUGGUGGAGGCUCGCAGCGGUUCUGACGUGCAAAUCGAUCGUCAAAUAUGAGCAUGGGGGCGAAAGACUAA
rnacentral:rRNA from 1 species